ensembl:lncRNA
UUAUAAAGCAGAAGAUGAGUCUGACUGCAGAGCUAGGAUGACAGCCUAUAGGAAACAGGGCAGUGCAGCAGUUUCUGGAGAAGGAUAUCUAAAGACAGCCUAGAGAAAGGAGUUGCAGCUGUUGGGGAGCUGCUGUGCAGUCAGAGGACAGCUUCUGUGAAUGACAGCAAUUGCAGUAAUGCAACGUGGGAUCAGGUCUCCUGUACCAGGCUGUGCGUGGACCUCCCUAAUACCAUGCCCUGAAAGGUACCUCCACAACAGAUGGAGUACCAAACUUGGCAUGUCUAAGAAGAUCUGAUUUUGACCAUCCCUAAUGAAUACAGCAUUUGAUGGG